UGGCAAUGUGUGCGAUCGAGAGAGAGGAGGGAGCCAAGAGAGUCAAAACCCUAACAUCACAAAUCUCUCAAAUUGAAAGGGGAAAAAUGAAGGUUUAUCAAUGCAUGAGUUAGAAAUGUUCAUCCCUAAGUGAAAUUAACAUCAAGCACAAAGAAGGAAGAAGGCGCAAGUCACUCGAAGGCGCAAGCAUCUCAAGAUCGCGGUAAAUCACAUGAUUAAUUGCGGCGCGCUCGGACCGAACAUACACACACAAUGUUGACCUUUAUACGCUUCCGGUUCAAGUUGUUUCUUUUGAAUGGGUCGAAACGUCCUUUUGUGUAGUAAAUGUUAAACUAGUUAUUAGGAUGAUGGUAGUAGUUUGAAGUUAAACUUUAUUUUGAAUAGUGUCGUAGAAUGUAUCUUGAAUGGUUUCGUUAAAAAGCAGGAAAAUGUUCACUUUUCGAAUGGGUCAUGUCAAAAUUUUUCCAAACCUUUGUAUGAGCUUUAUGUUAUUGUCAAAAGUAAAAGUGGGCGUUCCAAUAUACAUGCAUUGUAUACAAUAAUUAAGUGGAA